rfam:Oligotropha carboxidovorans OM5, complete genome.
AUUGUUGAUGGGGAUGGAGUUCCCCCGAUAACCGCCGCAAGGCUGAUGACUCCUACCGGACG